rnacentral:rRNA from 1 species
GUCUAUGGCCAUGCCAUUCUGAACAAGCCUGAUGUCUGAUCUUGGAAGCUAAGCAGGGUCAGGCCUGGUUAUUACUGGGAUGGGAGACCACCUAGGAAGACCAGGUGCUGUAGGCA